UAAAGGAAAAUGUUCCUUUUCAUCCUUCCCUCCUGAUGCUCAACCUCCCUAAAUCCAUGUCUACCAAAAAAAAAGCCUCACCAAAUCCAUCUCCAAGGUAAGGAAAAGUGCACAAGACCCUCCCGAUGGUCCUCCAUCUCUCCGACUUGUGCUCUAACCUUAUGGUGGCUUCAUCAUCUUCAACCUAUGAUUAUCCUCACUCACGACAUCUGUGUGGUAAAUAUCCCUUCAGCAAGACAUCUCACGAAGCUAACACCAAUGAGGCAGUCCAGUUGUUCAACCCAUGCCAUCAAUCCAGUGGAUUUAACCUAUGAAAGGUGGCUGAUCAGAAUAGAAAAUGGGCCAUCCCAAGCUACUAUUGAGUCCCCAUUGUUAAUUUAGUUUGUGGGACCCCACCUCAUAAUGGAUAGCGGUGGGUGAACCACAAGGAUGGAAAUGAUCAUGAAGUUGGAGGUGAAGAUGAAGAAUGAUGGGAUGUAAUGUCAUAGAGACUUUGAUAUAAUGUUGGAGCUUGUUUUUGACAUUCUAGAGUUUUUUGCAUACAUUAUGCUUAAUAUUUGGACUAUGUGCAUUGGGUAAAGAUUUGGUUUCCAUUUGAAUAUUAUUUGUUUGGU